rnacentral:rRNA from 1 species
UACGUAGGUGGCAAGCGUUGUUCGGAUUCACUGGGCGUAAAGGGUGCGCAGGUGGGCUGGUAAGUUCGAUGUGAAAGCCCCGGGCUUAACCCGGGAAAGGCAUUGGAUACUACUGGUCUGGAGGAUUGGAGGGGGGACUGGAAUUCUUGGUGUAGCAGUGAAAUGCGUAGAUAUCAAGAGGAACACCAGUGGCGAAGGCGGUUCUCUGGGCAUUACCUGACGCUGAGGAGCGAAAGUGUGGGGAGCGAACAGG